AGCCUCCCUUCACAAUUCCCCUAAACUAGCCGCAGCCACCCCUACCAGGAACCCUAACUCCCUCAAGCCCUCUCUGAGCCUAUCUAGCGUUGAAUCUCAGCACCGAACCUCCUCUUUCAUCUCCACCAUCCACGCCGCCGAACAACACCAUCACUGCAGCGCGGCCCUUUUCUCUCCCUCUCCCUCAUCCUCGACGGCUCCACCCACCAUGUCUCUAGCAGUCAUCUCCUCCACGAACCAGCAAACGUCGUCGUCCUCGACAAACCGCAACAGCACGCACCAGACGCAGCUGAAGCCCCCACCGUUCGUCGCCCGUCUCUCGUUCAUCGUUGAAGCCGUGUUGUCUGUCCAGUCUCUUCUUCUCCGUCAUUGAAGUAGUGUUGUCCUUCCAUUUCUGGUUUUUUGUUCAUCGCUGCCGCCGUCUCACCAUCCUGUACCUCCGUUGUCCUCUGUAAUAGAGCUUAAGUCUCAGGAAAGGAAAAGGUGAAAGAGGAAGAAUCUGUGGAAUUGGUGCACAAAAUGAAAAUUUUUGGAAUUAAUUUGGUUGUAUUACUGAUUUUGUAUAGUUCUAUUUCUUGAUUCAGUUUGGAAUUGGUGCACCAUUUUUGCAGAAUUUUUGGAAUUAGUUUGGUUGUAUUUCUUGAUUCCUCUUGAUUCAGUUCAGGUUGAUUAUUGUUCCAUCUGUUCCUGCCAUUUUUGCUACAAAAUUGUUAAUAAUUUUAAUUUGUUGUGCUUCUGUUUAAUCUAUUUUAUUUGAUUAUUGUUCAA